rnacentral:lncRNA from 1 species
AGUAUUUAUAUAUCCGGAGAAAGUUCUAUAGUAAAUUCUGGAGAUCUUCGGUAUUUAAAUAUCAACAUCGAUUUGUUUAUUUAUUGCUCAGCUUAUCGUAACCGACUCGAUAACAAAUCUAAUCAUGUUGCGCGCGGAAAAAAAUAUUCUCAUUAUGUAUUUUCCCUACGUUGUAGUUAACUGUUACAUUUGAAUUCGAGCUGUAAAUUCAAUAUUAUCAAGUAAUUACU